GCCUCACCCCGCCUAGCCUCACCUAGCCCCAACCCACCUAGCCCCACCCUGCCUAGCCCCGCCUAGCCUCACCUAGCACCACCCCGCCUAGCCCCUCCAGGCUCAGUCUGCUCUGCACCACAGGCCCCAUCUGUACACUAUGCAACUCUUUGGAUACGUCCCAAAUAGCACCCUUUCCCUAUGUAGUGCACUACUUCUGACCAGCACUACAUAGGGAGUAGGGAGCCAUUCGGAAUAGAACCAAUGUUCACAAUACACAAGAAGAACUUUAUUUAUUGAACAUAGUUUUCUAACUUUAACUCGACUACCUUUCUGUUCAUAUGGAACGAGAAACAAAAUCAUGGAUUUGAGGAUAUUUAAAAAAUAUUUAAGGUUUUAUUUUAUCACUGUUGGUUGCUCACAACUACUACAAUAUUUCUCAUAACGUUUAGAACAAUAAUACAAGUGUAUUUAUUCUGAAAGGAGAUGUGAAGAGGGCUUGCUUUGUGACGAUACCUCAGUGUGUUAAAACUCUUCUCAGUUUACAUUGCAUACAAUACUUCAUCUCCUGGCCUCUUGUGUCCCAAAUGGCACCCUAUUCCUUAUAUAGUGCACUACUUUCACCGGAGCCUUAUCAGCCUUGGUCAAAAGUAGUGCACAACAUAGAGAAUAGGGUGCCAUUUGGGACGCACAACCGGUCUCACAUCAUCUCUGAACCCUCCAUGUAGAAUAACAGCCAUGUUCUCUCUUUAAGGCAGACUAAGGGCUGAGAGAGAGGUGGUAAUAUCACACCACAUCUGUGAUAUAAAGGUCUUUGUUGCUGUUUCUUGGAUGAGACCAUAACGUAGGCUAAUACAAUUCCCCCCCCCCUUGUUACGCCGCUUUCUGUGUUACGAGAUUGUGAAUGGUUUCAUUAAAGGCUGACUCAGCGAGAUGUCGUUGCACAAAGUUAACACCACCCUGCCUAGCCCCACCCUGCCUAGCCCCACCCUGCCUAGCCCCACCUAGUUAACACGUAGUGGAUCCAUUUCCUCCACAACUAGGGAGCACGAGGUUUAACUACUCCGCUGUUUUGGUCCUGUAGUUACCACAUUGUAGCAGCGUGAAGCGCGAGGUUAAACUACUCCGCUGUUUUGGUCCUGUAGCUACCACGUUGUAGAAGCGUGAGGUUAAACUACUCCGCUGUUUUGGUCCUGUAGUUACCACGUUGUAGAAGCGUGAGGUUAAACUACUCUGCUGUUUUGGUCCUGUAGCUACCACGUUGUAGAAGCGUGAGGUUAAACUACUCCGCUGUUUUGGUCCUGUAGCUACCACGUUGUAGAAGCGUGAGGUUAAACUACUCCGCUGUUUUGGUCCUGUAGCUACCACGUUGUAGAAGCGUGAGGUUAAACUACUCCGCUGUUUUGGUCCUGUAGCUACCACGUUGUAGAAGCGUGAGGUUAAACUACUCCGCUGUUUUGGUCCUGUAGCUACCACGUUGUAGCAGCGUGAAGCACGAGGUUAAACUACUCUGCUGUUUUGGUCCUGUAGCUACCACGUUGUAGAAGCGUGAGGUUAAACUACUCCGCUGUUUUGGUCCUGUAGCUACCACGUUGUAGCAGCGUGAAGCGCGAGGUUAAACUACUCCGCUGUUUUGGUCCAGUAGCUACCACGUUGUAGCAGCGUGAAGCGCGAGGUUAAACUACUCCGCUGUUUUGGUCCUGUAGCUACCACGUUGUAGAAGCGUGAGGUUAAACUACUCCGCUGUUUUGGUCCUGUAGUUACCACGUUGUAGCAGCGUGAAGCACGAGGUUAAACUACUCUGCUGUUUUGGUCCCGUAGCUACCACGUUGUAGCAGCGUGAAGUUAAACUACUCUGCUGUUUUGGUCCUGUAGCUACCAUGUUGUAGCAGCGUGAAGUUAAACUACUCUGCUGUUUUGGUCCUGUAGCUACCACGUUGUAGCAGCGUGAGGUUAAACUACUCUGCUGUUUUGGUCCUGUAGCUACCACGUUGUAGCAGCGUGAGGUUAAACUACUCUGCUGUUUUGGUCCCGUAGCUACCACGUUGUAGCAGCGUGAAGCGCGAGGUUAAACUACUCUGCUGUUUUGGUCCCGUAGCUACCACGUUGUAGCAGCGUGAAGCGUGAGGUUAAACUACUCUGCUGUUUUGGUCCAGUAGCUACCACGUUGUAGCAGCGUGAAGCGCGAGGUUAAACUACUCCGCUGUUUUGGUCCCGUAGCUACCACGUUGUAGCAGCGUGAAGCGUGAGGUUAAACUACUCUGCUGUUUUGGUCCAGUAGCUACCACGUCGUAGCAGCGUGAAGCGCGAGGUUAAACUACUCCGCUGUUUUGGUCCCGUAGCUACCACGUUGUAGCAGCGCGAGGUUAAACUACUCUGCUGUUUUGGUCCCGUAGCUACCACGUUGUAGCAGCGUGAAGCACGAGGUUAAACUACUCUGCUGUUUUGGUCCCGUAGCUACCACGUUGUAGCAGCGUGAGGAUAAACUACUCCGCUGUUUUGGUCCUGUAGCUACCACGUUGUAGCAGCGUGAGGUUAAACUACUCUGCUGUUUUGGUCCAGUAGCUACCACGUUGUAGCAGCGUGAGGUUAAACUACUCUGCUGUUUUGGUCCAGUAGCUACCACGUUGUAGCAGCGUGAGGUUAAACUACUCCGCUGUUUUGGUCCAGUAGCUACCACGUUGUAGCAGCGUGAAGCGCGAGGUUAAACUACUCUGCUGUUUUGGUCCAGUAGCUACCACGUUGUAGCAGCGUGAGGUUAAACUACUCUGCUGUUUUGGUCCUGUAGCUACCACGUUGUAGCAGCGUGAGGUUAAACUACUCUGCUGUUUUGGUCCAGUAGCUACCACGUUGUAGCAGCGUGAAGCGUGAGGUUAAACUACUCUGCUGUUUUGGUCCUGUAGCUACCACGUUGUAGCAGCGUGAGGUUAAACUACUCUGCUGUUUUGGUCCUGUAGCUACCACGUUGUAGCAGCGUGAGGUUAAACUACUCUGCUGUUUUGGUCCAGUAGCUACCACGUUGUAGCAGCGUGAGGUUAAACUACUCCGCUGUUUUGGUCCUGUAGCUACCACGUUGUAGCAGCGUGAAGCACACCCGUGCACAUGCUUUGUGUGAUUGUAUCUCACUUCAUCUUCGUUGCAACGUCAUCUCGAUGAGUCUACUUUUAAUUCCAUUGUAUCGUCAGCGGACGGUCUCCCAGUUGGGUCAGUACUCUGUCAGUACAUGUCUGUAUGGUGCUGUGUUUUAUGUUGGAAUAAUACUUCCAGGAGACUGGACCUUGACAGCGUACUGCAUCUAAGAACUAUCCCUUUGUGAUAUUACUGAAACUUAACCAACUGCCAUAUCUACUUAAAAGUUAUAUAUUUUACAAUUUCAACAGAGCAAAACAUUGUAUUUUCAGAUGUGUCAAAUAAAUUAACUUUUUUUUUUUA